UCGGGAGGCUUGAGGUGGGAAAAUCGCUUGAACCCAGGAGGAGGUUGCAGUGAGCUGAGAUCGUGCCACUGCACUCCAGCCUGGGCAACAGAGUGAGACACCAUCUCAAAAAAAAAAAAAAAAAGAACCAUACCCUUUCAGAACUGGAGACCUCAGGAUGCUGAACAUUUACUAGAGGAGGAGAUGGAGAGGAAGGUGGCUUGCCCCAAAUCACGCACAAUACAGUCAUUGAGUCAAGCCUAGAAGUUUCUGCUUUUUCCACUAAUCCUCUUCUGCCUCUCUCCUUGGCUGUCCAAUUCAGACAAGCUCCAGGUUUUCACUUGGGCCAUAUCUAAUAAUAGGAAGCUCACCUUGAAUAUACUUUUCUUUCUUUCUUUCUUUCUUUUGAAACAGGGUCUCACUCUGUCACCCAGGCUGGAGUGCAGUGAUACGAUCAUGGCGCACUGCAGCCUCGACCUCCCAGGUUCAAACGAUCCCUCCCACCUCAGCCUCUCAGGGCCUCAGUCUGCAGAGACACAGAAGCAAAUGAUUGUAUGAAGCUCCUGACUGUAUGAAGUUCUCAGUCAAACAAAAUAGUACCUCUUCUGCCCAUCUCAGAGGUGGAUAAGGAUAAAGUGAAAUAAUGGAAAGCACAAGGAACAGUAAAAGGCAAAUGUCAAGAAGCUGUUUGCAAAGUUACCAAGAUGUAAAAUUAGAUUUUACUUAUUAAUAAUCAUGUCACUUGUCAUUCUGUUUAUAAUGGUCAAUUCACUGCUGAUAUUCAAGUGGACCGUUUAAACUGUAUUUUUGCUCAGCUAUCCCUCCAAAUAAAUAUCUCAAAAUCUUGACUGUUUAUUUUCUUAGCCCAUCUUAUUUUCCCAGGCCUCAAAGCGUGGCUUCUCAAAUCCCUGGCUUGUCUUCUGAUUCUGGCCAGUCUAGGUGGGGUCUGGCUUCAGUUUGUACAGAUUCUCACUCCCAAUCUCAUAUUGGUCAAACAAACCCAGAAGUAAGAUCUACACGUAUUAAUCAACCAUUCUCAGACCAGGAUUGGAAUAAUUUGAAAA
rnacentral:lncRNA from 10 species